GUAGCGUGAAGGAUGACUGCCCUAUGGGUUGUAAACUUCUUUUAUACGGGAAUAAAGUGAGGCACGUGUGCCUUUUUGUAUGUACCGUAUGAAUAAGGAUCGGCUAACUCCGUGCCAGCAGCCGCGGUAAUACGGAGGAUCCGAGCGUUAUCCGGAUUUAUUGGGUUUAAAGGGAGCGUAGGCGGACGCUUAAGUCAGUUGUGAAAGUUUGCGGCUCAACCGUAAAAUUGCAGUUGAUACUGGGUGUCUUGAGUACAGUAGAGGCAGGCGGAAUUCGUGGUGUAGCGGUGAAAUGCUUAGAUAUCACGAAGAACUCCGAUUGCGAAGGCAGCUUGCUGGACUGUAACUGACGCUGAUGCUCGAAAGUGUGGGUAUCAAACAGGAUUAGAUACCCUGGUAGUCCACACAGUAAACGAUGAAUACUCGCUGUUUGCGAUAUACAGUAAGCGGCCAAGCGAAAGCGUUAAGUAUUCCACCUGGGGAGUACG
rnacentral:rRNA from 1 species